rnacentral:tRNA from 1 species
GGGCGAGUGGCUCAGCUGGGAGAGCGCCGCGUUCGCAUCGCGGAGGCCGAGGGUUCGAAUCCCUUCUCGUCCA